GUGAGGCUACCGCGUUGGUGACUGCUAUUCAAGUUUUUUGAUCUAUGCUUGAUUUUAUGCGGGAACUUAGAGCAUUUGUGUGGUAGUAGACCGAGCUUGUACUCGGAAACAGAAACGCAAAGCCGAAUGUGCCCACCUGGAUAACCCCAGGUCAUAAACUGAGGUAAAACGGCGUGGUGGUCUCACU
rnacentral:other from 1 species